AUUGAACGCUGGCGGCAGGCCUAACACAUGCAAGUCGAACGGUAACAGGAAGCAGCUUGCUGCUUUGCUGACGCGUGGCGGACGGGUGAGUAAUGUCUGGGAAACUGCCCGAUGGAGGGGGAUAACUACUGGAAACGGUAGCUAAUACCGCAUAACGUCGCAAGACCAAAGAGGGGGACCUUAGGGCCUCUUGCCAUCGGAUUUGCCCAGAUGGGAUUAGCUAGUAGGUGGGGUAACGGCUCACCUAGGCGACGAUCCCUAGCUGGUCUGAGAGGAUGACCAGCCACACUGGAACUGAGACACGGUCCAGACUCCUACGGGAGGCAGCAGUGGGGAAUAUUGCACAAUGGGCGCAAGCCUGAUGCAGCCAUGCCGCGUGUAUGAAGAAGGCCUUCGGGUUGUAAAGUACUUUCAGCGGGGAGGAAGGGAGUAAAGUUAAUACCUUUGCUCAUUGACGUUACCCGCAGAAGAAGCACCGGCUAACUCCGUG
rnacentral:rRNA from 1 species